rnacentral:rRNA from 1 species
GCGGCCUAUCAGCUUGUUGGUGAGGUAAUGGCUCACCAAGGCAACGACGGGUAGCCGGCCUGAGAGGGCGACCGGCCACACUGGGACUGAGACACGGCCCAGACUCCUACGGGAGGCAGCAGUGGGGAAUAUUGGGCAAUGGAGGAAACUCUGACCCAGCGACGCCGCGUGCGGGAUGAAGGCCUUCGGGUUGUAAACCGCUUUCAGUAGGGAAGAAGCGAAAGUGACGGUACCUACAAAAGAAGCACCGGCUAACUAUGUGCCAGCAGCCGCGGUAAUACAUAGGGUGCAAGCGUUGUCCGGAAUUAUUGGGCGUAAAGAGCUCGUAGGUCGUUUGCUACGUCGGAUGUGAAAACCUGAGGCUCAACCUCAGGCCUGCAUUCGAUACGGGCAAACUAGAGUGUGGUAGGGGAGACUGGAAUUCCU